UUUUUCUCCAUGUUUCUCGUGUGUAAGUGUCCCACAAGCUCAAUGAUCACAGGAAACAGCCCAACUGGAGCUCACUUAAAGCUCUGUCCACAUGCUUCCUUCUUCUGUUCCUGUCUCUAAACCUGUACUGAGAAUUGUAAUGAUUGAACUCAACACUUGCCUGGUACCAAAGGUGAUUUCUGCAUAAUCAGAGAAUAUUUUAGCCUUCCCAUUCCUCUGGGAAUAGUCUCACCUCAGUGUGGGAUUCAGCUCUACUCAAGGCAUAGGGAGCUACUUUGUCCCAAUAAUACAGGGGAAGGUUUGGAGCUGCAAAGGGGUUCCAAGGUGCAAGAAAUAACUUUUAGGGACCAGCAUCAGCCAGACAACUCUGGGAGAAUGUCGGGUUCUGCCACAAGUUUGAAAAAGGAGGGAGAAGGACUCCUGGUGACAGGACAAGGGGCAAUGAUUUUACACUG